GCAUUACUCCCUCCGUUCGGAAUUACUCGUCCAAAAAAUGAAUGUAUCUAGAUGUAUUUUAGUUGUAGAUACAUCCAUUUUUGUGACAAGUAAUUCCGAACGGAGGGAGCAGAUA
rnacentral:pre_miRNA from 1 species